GUGCUGUAUGAAAGGAGAGAAGGUUAGCACUUCCCUUGACAAGAAUGGAAGAGGCCCCUGGGCCUUAUGACAUGCAUACAGGGUUAAGGUAUUACCACUUACUUUGUGCCAUCUAACCAAUGUUGUUU
ensembl:snRNA